CCCCUUCCCCCUCUCCCUUGUAUCCUUCCCUUCCCCCUCAUCCUCUCUCCCUUGUCUUUGUCUCUUAUUCCCUGUCCUCUGUCCCUCUGGGGCACAUAAAUCUCCUUUGUGCUGAGAACUUGGUCUGGGGCUGUCUUGUGCUGACUUCAAGGUCCUUUCAACUGGCCUAGUCUAUAUUCUCUUCACCUGUGGCCUCCUCCCAUUUCUCUCUGAAGUAGAACUUUCUAGACAUGACUCCCAGUUUUUCCAUCAGUGAGAUGUCACUAAUUGUUUCUUACGCUAUGGCGCAGGAGAGGAAGAAUUGUCAUAUUCAUGGCAAACAGCCAUUUAUUUUGAUCAAGGUGAGGGAAGUGAAUGCCCUGGCUGGGCUCUCCUUGGGUCCAAGUUGAUUGUCAUUAGGAUGAUGUAGACAGCCGGUCAUGGUAGGUAGGCAGUCUGCUGAUGGAUGUUUCCUGGUUUCUAAUGCUGUCAGAAAAGGAAGGUUCAGCCAUAUUGUCUGGUUACCUCCUGGAGCUCUCUGAAAACAAGGAGAAACAACACCGGCUUUUAUUCCAUUAGAUGGUAAGGAGACGUCGGUCCACACAAAGGCCUCUUGGUGACUGUUGUGUUGGUUUCUGUGUUCUUAAUUAUGGGAAUACAUAAGCAUUGCCCUCAAACUGUGUCGUCCAGCCUGCAAGAAAUGAUGAAAAAUAACACAUUCUUGAUGGGCAGUAGGGUCACCUUGCUGGUGGGAGAACCUGUCUGUGGAGAGGUUCUCCUUAACCCUACAUCUGUCAUUAAUUCAACAUGAUUUUAGGCAAGUCUCUUAACUUCUUUGGGCCUUGGGUUUUCUAUCUUAAGAAAUGAUUGAGCUGACCUUUGAGGUGGUAAUGUUCUUUCAUUCCUCAUGAAAAUUUAAGAUGUUUAAUUUUCUAGGUACUUUUACUGAUGUGGGAAGAAAUUGGCUUAGAUGUGUGUUUUUCAAUAGAAGUAUAUUUUUCGGAGAACAGAGCAUAUGUAUUUUACUUAGUAUUGGGAAUGGAGGGGAUUCUCUACCAUUUUAUCUAAUAACAUCAAAGCAGUAAAGCUUUGAAAGGGGGUUGUUGGUAUAAGGCCAGGCUUUAAACUGUAUACGGAAUGAAGUGGAGUUCUUUCUGAAUCCUCAAGAGUGGUCUGCAAAAGGAUUUAUGCCUUUGAUGAAAUAAUGUAGUAGCUUUACUUUCUCUCCAUAAAUGUCUACAACAAAUACUUAGUUCUCCAUGCGUGUCUUUCAUCUCAGUAUUUCAGGAAUUAUUAACAUUUUCGAGAACUUCAAAUAUGAUGAAUAUGACCAAUAUUUAUUAAAAUAUGAUCCCCCCACCUCUCCCAAUGUCCCUGCUGUGUCCAUUCCCCCUAACUCUGUCUUUUAAGAAUAUAUUAGAACACACCAAAUCCAGUCAGUUCCGCUCAUAUGUGCACGCCUGAGGGGCCAUCCAUUGGCUCAUAGGAACACUGCCAGUGGCCACAUUCUCUCUCGUAAAAGCUCCGUUGUUAACAGCCUGGAGAUUGUCUCUCCCACUUUUGUGGGGAUUUCGACUGGCGUGAUCUUGUGCAGGUCUCAUACAGGUAAUGCAGGCUGCUGUGAGUUCAUUCGUGUGACAGCGAUGCCGUGUCUAGUGGACAGAAUUUCACAACACUCCUUCCUGCUUUCAGGCUUUUACAUUCUUUCUAUCCCCUUUCCUCAACGUUUGCUGAACCUUCACUGGGGCAGGUGUUGGAGAGAGAGGUCCCAUUUAUGGCUGAGCACUUAGCCUUUUAUUCUCAGUAGGUUGACCAGUUGCACAUCUCUCCAGUGACUGCUGCCCACUGCAAAACAAAGUUUCUUCCACUAAGGUUCUGUUACAGGCAUAAACAAAAUUGAUUUCAUGUUUCAAAAUAAAUAAAUAAUUUUUUUCUAGAAUUUUGUAUAUGAGUACACUGUAUUUACACCAUUUCCACCCAUCUUUGUCCCCUAAUUUUUCCUCCCCUCACUCAUUUACAGAUUCAUGACUUAUUUAUGUGUAAUUAUUAAUGUUAUGCAUACACACAUAUAUGUAUAUAUAAGCUACUAAGCUCAUUUAGUGUUGUUUGUAUGUUCAUGUUUUUAGGGCUGACCACUUGAUAUUGGAUCACCUGUCAGGGGUCUUGUGCCUAGAGAAAACUGAUUUUCCCUCUCUCAACAACCACUGACUGUAUGUUGUUCUUUAUCUAGGGAUGGGCCCUUGUGUAAUUUCGACCAUCUCCACUGGCAUGUUCACUGGUGUGGUCAUUAUGCAGGUCUUGUUUGGGCAGCCAUUCUGUUGAGGUUUCAUGGGUGCAGAAUCCCUCUUGUGUCUAGAAGACACUGUCUUGUAAAAGGUAUCAUGGUCUUCUGGCUCUUACUAUCUUUUUUUUUUUUCUAACUGAAUUGUCUUUCAUACAAUAUAUUCUGAUCUUGCUUUCCCCUCCCCCACCUCCUCCUAGAUCUUCCUCACUUUCCCACCCACCCAGUUCUAUGACCUUGCUCUAAAAAUAAACAAAUAAACAAGAAACACCCCCCAAACCCCACAAAAACUGAAAACAAAAUAUACAAGCAAAAUACCAACAAGACAAAAAAAAAACAAAAACAAAAAAAACAAAGCAAAAUGAGACAAGAAGUCUACAAAAAUGUUAUUAAGUAUGUGUUAUGUUGGGCAACUACUCCUGGGCAUGGGGCCUACCCUGAAGUGUGGUUGAUAUACCCAGUGAGACUGCAAUGGGGAAAGCUAAUUUUUCCUUUGCCAGCACUCAUCAAUUAGAUGUAGCUUCUUGGUUAGUGGGUGGGAGCCUGUGUCUACUUCCCCUGCUCAGUGUUGUGUGGUAUACAUGUACUUAUUGGGGCUCAAUACCCCAUGUUCACUUAUUCUCUGUAGUUUGACCACUUGUGGGUCUCUAGAGUAGCCAUCUAUGAUGAUGCUCCCCCAUUGGGAUGAGAAUUACCAUUAUCAGUGGGUAUAAUAAUCAAGGUUAGAAUUCAGCUAGAGGCUGUACUGAUUUAGGAAGGUGGUAGUAGUGAGUUCACCUCUUGGUUCUGUGUCCUCUCCAGCAUGAGUUCCUUAAGUCCAGUUAGUUUCCAUCAAGAUGUAAGUGGCACUGUUGCAUAUUUCAUGUCAUCUUUUUCCAUCAUAGAUCUUUUUCCAGAGUUCCAUAUUGAAAUUUUGUCUACACUUCAUUGGAGUAUAUUGCUAGGAAUUUUUAUAUGAAAUAAAAUCUUUGAUUAUGUGAUACCCUCCCCAGUUGUGGACGAUGGAGAAGAGGGAAUUCCAUGGGAUUAAAAACUGGAGUACAGGGCUGGAGAGAUGGCUUAGCUGUUAAAGGCUAGGCUCACAACCAAAACUAUAAAAAACAAGUACAGAAAAAAAAAGCAGUUUGGUACUCGGUACAUAAAGCAAAAUAAUAGUAGUGUGUUCGCUCAUGUCAAACCUCUUUCUGAACUCAGAUCUCUGUAACUGGAGAUUAGUCUAGCUGUGGGACACCAAAGAGAUGUUUCUUUGUGCAGUGGAUAGUAGUUAACACAGAAACUGGCAACCGGUCAAAGUGCAGAGAAUGAGCAUCAGUGGAGGGCUCGGCUACAAAUGGAACAUGUACAUCACGCCUUUCCCCAGGGCUCGGGGAACAUCCAGGACGAGGAGGCGGAAAGCUUGUAAGAGGUGGAAGUCAGGGAAGACUGAAGUGAAAUAGUAUCCUCUGAACAUUACAGGACUGCUGUAUUCUUGAACUCACAGAAACUCUGGUUGCCAGCACAAGAUCAAACCAGUCAUUCUGGCAUGGAGGGUGAAUGGAUUCUUGAGCCCUGACCAGCAACCAAAGAGCUGUGGACAGUUGAUGUAGUCUAGGGAAAGGAGAGUCAUUUUCCUCAAUGGCUUGGAUCCUGGUAGGUUAGCCAUGCUCAUGUGGGUCAUCCCACACCCAGGACUAUAUGUAGAGCACUACUUGGAUUCUGGGGGUUAUUGAAAAAUGAGGACAUGACAUUGUGGGGCAUAGGAGGUCAGGUGUAUUUGGGAAGAUAUAGGGAUAGGACUUGUGGGUAAAUACUAUCAAAAUACAUUGUAUGAGGUUUUCAAAGAAUUAAUAAAAACGUUUUUAAUGGAACACAUUUCAGUGCAAAUAAAUGUGGUAUUAUGGGACUGUUAUGUGCCCACAGAUUUGAGACUUAUGUGCUUCAAGGCUUAUUUUUAUUAGGUUUUCCUUAAUAAGCUGCUUUCUUUCUCCUGACAUUCUCCUGAUGUUAUAGUAUGGGAAGUGUCUCCUAAUCUAACAGGCCUCUUGUCUGCAAAUAAGAGCUGCACUCUGAAUGUCUAAGUGUACCUUGCCUGUGUUGGUGCUGUCUUACCAUGCUUCUCUUUGCCUCACUCUCAGAGAACUGCCUCAAGGGAUGACAGUAAGGAAUACCAAUGCAGCAGUCACUUCCGAGUCUCAGUGUAUUUUACGUAGAUUAUUCACAAGAACAAAGUUUCAAGGCGGUCUGAGAAAGUGGACAGAAAACCUACCAGAAUUUUUAUGAAGGUCGCUACUCAUGUUUGCCAGUAGUCUUCACUUCUGCACCCGAAAAUGGAGACAACUUCGAUUUUGGUCAUGUAACAAACCUACAGUUUUAGAACCUAAGUUCUUACUAGCUUAAGGACUGGUUUCUAGUACUUAGAAUAUCUGUUAGGGCCAUUAUUAUUAGUAGAAUUGGAUGCAUAGUAUGUUGCUCAGAAGAAAAAAGUGAAAACGAAUGUCAUUUUUCCAGUCAUACAUUAUGUAUUACACAUAGGAAAGCCAGCUCAGUAUCUGCAGAACACAGCUUAGUACAGACCUAAACUUGAAAAAAAACCUCAUAUGAUAAAUACUUUUCAAAGCCAUUACAGUACAAUUCCUGCUAAAUAUAAUCAAGGCUCUCUUCUGGCCUUCCCUUUCCCCAGUUCCAAGACACUUAACUCACUUUGGGGACUUAUACAGCAGCACCCCACUUUGGAUACCAAGUUCUUUUUUAGUCUCUCUUGGUUGUUUUAUAGAAUAUCACAGACUUGGUGACUUAGAAAUAACAAAAAUUUACUUCUUAUAUUUUGGAAGCUGGGAAAUCACGGUGCUGGUCCAUUGGGUGUCCAGUCAGGGGCUGCUUGGUUCACACAUAGCAGUCUUCUUCCUGUGACUUACAUGACAAUGGGUGAGUGAGUUCUCUGAGGUUUAUUUUAUAACAACACCAAUCCACCCACAUGCCCUACUUACUUCCCAAAGGACUUACCUUUCUAUAGAUGUGGGGUUUUUGUUUUGUUAUUGUCUUAAACAAAGUCUUAACUGUAUAUCCCUGGCUAGCCUAGAACUCUCUUUGUAGAUUUGUCUGGCUUCAAAUCACAGAGAUCUGCCCAACUCUGCCUCCCAAGUGCUAGGAUUAAAGGUGUGCACCACCACACCUGGCAAAUGCCUAAUAUUUGACAUUAAAAUUUUAGCAUAUUCAGUCCGUAGCACCAGUAUAGAGUAAGUUGACCACCCUAGAGUAAGAUGGGCACAAUUCUGCAUAAGCCAUGUGUCUUGGAAUCAUCAAAGUAUGUAGUGUGGAAGCUCAAAGAACAAUGGUGAUUAGCUUAUGUUUUAAAAACUUUGCAGUCUUGAAUAUUUUAUAAAACAUCCUUACGGUUCUUCAAAUUUUUUUGGUUUAAAAAAUUUUUAUUAUUAGUGAAUAUUUUUACUGCAUAAUAUAUUAUCAACAUAUUAUGCAUAAUAAAUAUAUACCAUAUAGUACAUACAUUAUAAUAAUAAAUUAUAUAUAUGAUUACCAAAAGUGUUGGAUAUGGAAUUAUGCACUGUGACACUAGAGUAAGAAGAACAUAGCCUACAUUGAUUCUUUGCAAUGUAUUAUCUUCAUUAUCUUGCUCAAAUUAUUUGGUCCUUCUACCUAUUCUACCAUAUGCCUACUGUACUAGGUAACCUGUGAGACAGUUGUGCUGAUUAAAUGAGCAAGUGUUCAUCCUUUAUAUUUUACGUAAAUGCUGGUGGUGUCUCUAGCCAUUACUCUUUUUUUUGUGGAGACUGUGACUGAGAUUUGUCCAGUAAGACAGACUGAUGAAUGAUAAUAUCAGGGGGAUGCCCCUUUGUUCUUGUUUGUUAUUUGAUAUGCAUUUAUUGACGGUUCUGACAUAGGUAUUGUGACAGGCAUGUAAGACAUGAGGGAAAGAAGGAAAAAGGUUCUGGCGAGGGGUUUGUGAUUUCAUGUUGGUGUUGAAACCAGGGUCUAGGAGGCUAGAGAGAUGGCGCAGUGAAGAGAGUGCUUGCUGCUCUUGCAGAGGUCCCAAGUUCGCGUCCCAGCACCCAUGUUUGGCAGACUGGAACUCCAGCUCCAAGGAAUCCAAUGCCUUCUGGACUCCAAGACAUCCUCACACAUAUUCAUAUCCCCUAAACCCUGCCUCUCUUACACACACACACACACACACACACACACACACACACACACACACACUAAAUCAUAAAAACCCAAACGAACAGGUACUGAAGAAUGCCUAGAGUGUUCUUGGCUACCCCCUUAGGAUUUCUGAUAGUUCUGCACACAGCUUCAAAUGACAUAAUGACACUGAGCCAGUCCCAUGACAGUAGGUGACAAGCCUUAAUACACCUUCCUGCUUGAUGGAUGAGUACAGUUCAGACCUGAAACCCAAGAAGGGUCUUUUGUUGCCUUUCCAUUACCUUGUCCUGAAUCGUGGAACCAGACCAUUUAAUGUAUCUGGACCAAGAAAGAGGAUGUAGGUCUACAGAUCUGGACCCCAAUUACUCAUCCACAGAAGAUCAAUAAGGAAAAGAAAAGAAGAGAAGCCUGAUUGGUCUUCUCCCUCGUUCCUUUAUACUCCUUGGAACAGUGAUCUGGAAGGUCCCUUCAGUCUGUGCCACUGAAGCUUCUGCAACGAGACAGGAAUGGACAGUGAUGAAUGCUUCUGAGGACAUCUGGGCAUGAGGCCAAAAAUGUGUCCUCCAUGUUACUUACCACGCAAAAUGAGAACCGCGUCAGCCAAUCUAGAGCAUGAGAAGACAUUCUACAGCCGGCCUACACAGGCUGUUAUGAAUAUUCAAAAUUGUACUGCCAUGGACUUAAUUUUUAACUAUGAUUGAGCUGAUUAGCAGACUUAAAGACCGUCACUGUAGCUGAUGGGAUAUAUAUGGUUUUGAGGCUGGACGUAUUCCAAGAGCCUUUGAAAUGAACUCAAGUUGUUUUUCAAUCACCGAGUAAACUUCUUUGGUGAGUCUACUCAAAGGAGGGGAGAAAGGACAGUUUUGUCAAAGAAUGCCCUUGAUAAAGCAAUAAAAAUGACUAAUUAAACCAC